rnacentral:rRNA from 1 species
AAUGCCAGUUAGCGCCGAGUGCAGCGGCAAGUGCUCAGAUUUGGAAUCGUGUUUCGGGCGAGUUGUGCAUUGCAGGUUGGAGUCUUUUCCUCCGCUUAUUGAUAUGCCCCUUGGAACAGGGCGCCAUUGAGGGUGAGAGCCCCGUGGGAUGCGCGCGGAAGCAGCAAGGCCCUUCUGACGAGUCGAGUUGUUUGGGAAUGCAGCUCUAAGCGGGUGGUAAAUUCCAUCUAAGGCUAAAUACUGGCGAGAGACCGAUAGCGAACAAGUACUGUGAAGGAAAGAUGAAAAGCACUUUGAAAAGAGAGUGAAACAGCACGUGAAAUUGUUGAAAGGGAAGGGUAUUGGGCCCGACAUGGGGAUUGCGCAUCUCUGCUCCUUGUGGGCGGGGCGCUGUGCUUUUCCUGGGCCAGCAUCGGUUUUUGCCGCAGGAGAAGGGGUACUGGAAUGUGGCUCCUCGGAGUGUUAUAGCCAGUGCCAGAUGCUGCGUGCGGGGACCGAGGGCUGCGACAUCUGUCUCGGAUGCUGGCACAACGGCGCAAUACCGCCCGUCUUGAA